rnacentral:rRNA from 1 species
CCGUGGCGGCAGCUACCAUGCAGUCGUAACAUGGUAACCAUUUCGGGCGGGGAUUAGUGGCGAACGGGUGAGUAACACGUGGGCAAUCUGCCCUGCACUCUGGGACAAGCCCUGGAAACGGGGUCUAAUACCGGAUAUGACUGUCCAUCGCAUGGUGGAUGGUGUAAAGCUCCGGCGGUGCAGGAUGAGCCCGCGGCCUAUCAGCUUGUUGGUGAGGUAGUGGCUCACCAAGGCGACGACGGGUAGCCGGCCUGAGAGGGCGACCGGCCACACUGGGACUGAGACACGGCCCAGACUCCUACGGGAGGCAGCAGUGGGGAAUAUUGCACAAUGGGCGAAAGCCUGAUGCAGCGACGCCGCGUGAGGGAUGACGGCCUUCGGGUUGUAAACCUCUUUCAGCAGGGAAGAAGCGAAAGUGACGGUACCUGCAGAAGAAGCGCCGGCUAACUACGUGCCAGCAGCCGCGGUAAUACGUAGGGCGCAAGCGUUGUCCGGAAUUAUUGGGCGUAAAGAGCUCGUAGGCGGCUUGUCACGUCGGUUGUGAAAGCCCGGGGCUUAACCCCGGGUCUGCAGUCGAUACGGGCAGGCUAGAGUUCGGUAGGGGAGAUCGGAAUUCCUGGUGUAGCGGUGAAAUGCGCAGAUAUCAGGAGGAACACCGGUGGCGAAGGCGGAUCUCUGGGCCGAUACUGACGCUGAGGAGCGAAAGCGUGGGGAGCGAACAGGAUUAGAUACCCU